rnacentral:rRNA from 1 species
GAUGAACGCUGGCGGCGUGCUUAACACAUGCAAGUCGAACGGAAAGGCUCCUGCUUGCAGGGGUACUCGAGUGGCGAACGGGUGAGUAACACGUGGGUGAUCUGCCCUGCACUUCGGGAUAAGCCUGGGAAACUGGGUCUAAUACCGGAUAGGACGAUGGUUUGGAUGCCAUUGUGGAAAGUUUUUCGGUGUGGGAUGAGCUCGCGGCCCAUCAGCUUGUUGGUGGGGUAAUGGCCUACCAAGGCGUCGACGGGUAGCCGGCCUGAGAGGGUGUACGGCCACAUUGGGACUGAGAUACGGCCCAGACUCCUACGGGAGGCAGCAGUGGGGAAUAUUGCACAAUGGGCGCAAGCCUGAUGCAGCGACGCCGCGUGGGGGAUGACGGCCUUCGGGUUGUAAACUCCUUUCGCUAGGGACGAAGCGCAAGUGACGGUACCUGGAGAAGAAGCACCGGCUAACUACGU